rnacentral:rRNA from 1 species
GGCGAACGCUGGCGGCGUGCCUAACACAUGCAAGUCGAACGGAGUUAAUUGGAAGCUUGCUUUUGAUUAACUUAGUGGCGGACGGGUGAGUAACGCGUGAGUAACCUGCCUCUCAGAGGGGAAUAACAAUCUGAAAAGAUUGCUAAUACCGCAUAACGUACAGUUGUCGCAUGGCAGCAGUACCAAAGGAGCAAUCCGCUGAGAGAUGGACUCGCGUCCGAUUAACUAGUUGGUGAGGUAAUGGCUCACCAAGGUGACGAUCGGUAGCCGGACUGAGAGGUUGAACGGCCACAUUGGGACUGAGACACGGCCCAG